rnacentral:rRNA from 1 species
UAGCGCGGUGGUCCCACCUGACCCCAUGCCGAACUCAGAAGUGAAACGCCGUAGCGCCGAUGGUAGUGUGGGGCUUCCCCAUGUGAGAGUAGGACAUUGCCAGAC